rnacentral:rRNA from 1 species
GGAAGUGAUGUAUUUAUUAGAUAAAAAAUCAAUGCCUUCGGGCUCUUUGAUGAUUCAUAAUAACUUUUCGAAUCGCAUGGCCUUGUGCUGGCGAUGGUUCAUUCAAAUUUCUGCCCUAUCAACAAUCGAUGGUAGGAUAGUGGCCUACCAUGGUUUCAACGGGUAACGGGGAAUAAGGGUUCGAUUCCGGAGAGGGAGCCUGAGAAACGGCUACCACAUCCAAGGAAGGCAGCAGGCGCGCAAAUUACGGAAUCCCGACACGGGGAGGUAGUGACAAUAAAUAACGAUACAGGGUCCUUUCGCCUCUUGUAAUUUGAAUGAGUUUGGUGUAAAUACCUUAACGAGGAACAAUUGGAGGGCAAGUCUGGUGCCAGCAGCCGCGGUAAUUCCAGCUCCAAAAGCGUAUAUUAAAGUUGUUGCAGUUAAAAAGCUCGUAGUUGAACCUUGGGCUUGGCUGGCCGGUCCAUCUUUUUUGAUGCGUACUGGACCCAGCCGAGCCUUUCCUUCUGGCUAGCCUUUUGGCGAACCAGGACUUUUAC